GGAUGUGAGGGCAAUCUGGCUGCAAUAUCUUUCACCCCAUUGAUUUCCAGGGUUGAUUUGGUUGAUCUGGCUGGCUAGGCAGAUGUCUCCUUCUUCUCUCACCACUCCAUGUGCAUCCCUACCAAAGCUGUGCACUCGGACAAAGAGGACAGCCAUCCCUGAUAGAGAAGGACUGGUCUUCAGUCAAGGGUAUAUCAGUAGCUAUGUCCCCUUCUAGAACCUCCAAAUAAGCUCUCAAGGUCAAUUUGUAGGAGAACAUAGUGUAGUCAAGCUUCCAAGACUCCAGACACAUCCAAAUGAGGUGCUGCAUGUGCCAGUUUGCCUUUCUAA
rnacentral:snRNA from 1 species